rnacentral:hammerhead_ribozyme from 2 species
CGGCGAAACCGGCUCCACGCGGGCCGGUCGGGCGGAGAUGGCUUCCCGCCCCUGACGAGCCAAGCCAAAC